UAACGAUAAAUAUAAGUCGUUGUAGACACUUCUGUUGCAUUUUCAUCUCUUUUGACUUCAUGAUUUUAGUUGAUGUAAGAACGAGUUGAUUUCUGUAUAUUUAGCAUUUGUCUUUUGAUUUUUUGCCGUAACCUGUGAAUUUGUUUAACAACUGUAUCUCCGAAUUCGGUAGUUUUUCAUUGCUUUUAGUAAGUUUUGGAGCUUGGCUUGGUUUUUAUUUUCAGAAAGUCUGGUUACGGUGGGGCACACUGAGUAAAUACAUCUAUUUUAUUCAAUGUAUUUGGUUUCAAUGAUCACCACUUAGCAUUCCAGUUAUAUCAUUUCAAUAAAAAUACGCCAUUGAAUUACCAUAGUGAAUAUAUUGAGUGAAUAUAUGCACAGAAAUAUGAAAUACGCCCAUCGAAACUGCAUAUUCAACAACGACAUCACUUAGGUCAAACGUUGCGAAGCAGGAAAUUGGGUCUUUCUGAAAUUCUCACGGAAAAUACCAAAUUACAGGGUGAAAAUGGUAAAGACAAAUUUAGUAUUUUCGACUAUUACAUUGAUCACAUUUCUUGGUCUUGCCAAAGGAACAAUAAUAUCUCCACCUGAUGGUCAAAA